UUGGGUGCUUGGCAGCCAUUUUCUGAGGGCAUCAGUGGGGGCUCUUUUUCAGGGCCUCAGGGAAUGGCUGAGGGGGCUGGAAGAGGCCUGGAAAGGGCUGGAGAAGGGCUUUGGGGUUAAAGAACACUCCAUUUUCCCUUAGCUAAGAGAUGGGAAGACCUCGCCUUAGCUCCUUAGGAAAGGACUGGGUGCACCUCCACUUGCUGCUUGCAAGUCGGUCGGCAAUCUCUGAGAUCUGUGAGAGAUUUGAGAAAUGAUUCCAAAAGGGUGAAAGGAAUGAAAAAGAAGAGGCAGAGUGGGGUCCAGGGAGUUACAGUUGCACAGGCCCUUCUGCAGAAAGAGGAGGGUUUUGAUGUCUCCUUGAAGAGAGAGGGAGAUGCAUAAGGAAUUGAGGAGAAAUUUAGCAGCAUUACUCUGAAUAACCCAGGAGCUGGGGAUGAGGAAACUUAACAGCAGGGAAAAAAAAAGACUUAGUAGGUCAUCUCCGGCACACGUCUGUCAGCCCAAGGCUGUUCUUGCCAGGGAGAAUUUUUCCUUCAAAAGUUGAUAGUUCAGUUUAAGUCCCAGCGCUUUCCUCAGUGCCCAAAUGCCACAAGAGAGGGAAAUCUGGGCAUUCCGGCUUCUCUAACCGCUAAGGCCUAAAAUCUUUUUUUUUUCCCUCUAUCCCUAUUUCUUUUGAUUCAGACAAAACUCCCUCUGAAGUCGAGUGGACCAAAUACGAGGGCAUUUACUCAAAGCUCAAUUCAGAUGUCACUGGGGGUAAAUCUCCAUAAUGCCAGCUGGCGCUUGCUUGAGUGAGCAGUCAUUGCUCCUAAGUCGGCCGCCCAGCAAAAUCUGCACCGGGUCUGCAGGAGGUGGCCCUGGUUGGGCUGGAGUGGCAAAGGAGCGAGCCUGAAAUGGAGAAAACAUCCUUCAGACUCCCUGUGUCAUCGCUGAUUUGGGUAUCAUCGGUUUGCCAGCUAUGAAACACACGGAGAAGCAAUGUCCCCAGGGGAAAGCAAGCGGCUCGCUCCGUGAAUUUUGCCAGCGAAGACAACGCCGUUUGUGUUACAGCAUCCCGAUCCAGCCCAUUGAGUUGUCUGCAGAGAGCGUUAAUUGUAAUUUAUGGAGGCUAAAUUCCUAAUAGUGGGCUAAAAUCGCGGGCUUUGUUGAAAUUAGCGGUCCGCUGGUUUAGAAUGGUGAAAAAUAUGUCUCGCAGGCUGCUACCGACUGAGUGAGAUGUACUUGAUCUUUUUUUCACUCUGCAGGCAGGACCCCGUGCUUAUUUCUUCCAGCUUAAACAGCAGAGGACACAUUAAAACAGAACAAAGCAAAAAGCCCGAACCGAAAACCUCGAUAGUAGGAGGGGGGGAAAAGUUAGCGAAAACUCAAUGAAGGCAACAGCCGUUUCUUCCCGCCUCAGGUCUGAUUCAAUCAGGUCUUUCAAAAGAAACUCCUGUCACCACAAACUGCCUUUUCAUGCCAGAUUCCUCCCGGCUCCCCCUCUCUGCCCCAUCCCAGCGACUUCCAACAGCACCGAUCAAUCUCCAAGCGACACCCUGCCCCCCCGCCCAGCUGCCUCCAGCCACCGCCGUUCCCAAGCAAAAGGCAGCUUCACCCAGGAAGGUGGUGGAAAAAAUGUGGACAAAUUUCUGAUUUGCAACACUCUGGGAAUGGGUUUAUUGCCAUUGUUUGAGUGCAAAUGUAUAAAUAAAGCAAAACGAAGAUUCCAGGGUGAGUCCGAUGAAAAGCAGAAAACAAGAAAUUUUAUGGCCAUAAGUGGCGUGGGCUAAUGGUGAUUUUUGAGGCACUGGACCAUGGUAGUUACUUAGCUAAAUGAUUGCUGUGAAACCGGGCAAGAGGCUUAUUUCUUAAUUACUGUUACAUAUUAUGUCAAGCUGACACUUUGAGGCGUGCUCGGGCAAUGAUAAAGUUAGCCAAAAAAAAAAAAAGAAAAAAAAAACACACACAACCAACAACAACCAAAACUCCCUUGCCGUUCUGAGAGGCUGUUUUUAAAGCACGUUACUUGGCAGUGAUGCUGGGAAAGGGCCGUGCUGGCCCACAGAAAGGGGUGUCCUGUACUCAUGCUCUGCAGCAAUAUGUGGUUACCAGCGCCGCUUACCUCUAGAUCCAUAGGAUAAUGGGACUGGAUAAACCCCUGGAAACCUGACAGCCUUUCAGCUGACUUUCUCAGCGCUGCCAAAGCACUGCUCUGAGCAUCUUUAGCUAGCCCAGAGCAAAGUACAACCGCCUCAGUGCAUGAGCUGAGCAGGAAAGCUAUAAGGGACUGGGAAGAGCCAAGAAGAGCAGUGGCACUAGGAUACAAGAAGCGGAUAUCCCUGCUAUCCAAAUGUCCAGAAAGAGUGGGAGCCAGAUUUUCCUCUUGGCCUCACAGAGCCCAAGCUCUGUGACUGGGAGCAUCAUUCCUGAAGGGCACGUGCUGGAUGGAUCACGGAGCAAGGCCAAGCGGCGUAUCGUCCCCGUCUCAGUGGAGCUGUUCUCAUUUCUAGUGGCCACAGAGCUGAUUCUGGUUACCCGCGGAGCUCUCCAGGCUAACCCCAAGCUGCCAAUUCCCUGCUCACAGAUCUAUCCAUCUAGACAUCAAUUUAUGUUACACAUACGCUUUGAUCGUGGAUAGCCCAUAUGUAAAAAAUCACACAUGGAGGCAGCUCUAAUUUACAGUUUGUUCUAUAUCCCUGUAGGCUUACAGCCCCGCAGGCUGUCGUUUUGGCCUCUGCUACUUUACAAAAUAAAUACACACGCAUAGAAUUCCCCAGGUGCUGCCCUCUCCCUCACUCUUUACACAGGAGGUGUACAAAUCCUGAACAAAGGCAUGUUUUCUGCAUGGUUUUAUCAGUGUAUUUUCUCCCCGGCCUAAACCAGUGCUCCAGAAGAAACAGAAAUUACACAUCUGCAACGCCUUGCAAUAAUUGGCUCACCACUGGCUUGAGUUGGGCAUAAACAAACAGUGAAGAAUAUUGGGCUAGCAGCCCCUUGGAAUAAUUUGCCUUCAAGAGCCCUGGAUUCGCUCCAGUAUUUUUGAGUGCUUUCAGGCAAAGGGACCUCAUGGAAGCCCCAAAGGGAAAUAAUAAAAAUACUCCUGAGCUUAAGGAACACUUUUGCAGCUCCUGCAACAACCUGUGCCCAUCGGUAGAUCCACUGAAGGCAAAGGGAUUACUAAUGCAAUGAAACACCCUAAUAUCAUAAAGCUGGAACUCCAUUGACUUCAAACGUGCAUUAAUACCCCAAAAACUUUUCUGACCAAACCUUAGCAAAGGUGAAAAAUACGUGAAAGAAGGAGAGCUGGGGGAAGUGGGCCCUUGCAGAGUUCACUGUGAGCUCUGCAAGGAGGAGAAACCAACACUGCUCGGUAUGACCCAGACAUCGCUCAUCCCCAUCUCCAUAACAAGGAGGCUGGAGCCAGGAGGAAACCCACACCAGAGGAGACAUGGACAGCAGAGCCCAGGGAAGAUGUACAUUAAUGCAGGAGGAGUAGGGGGAGCAGAUCUUUCGGCUGGAGAAAGAGAAACAGCGCUCCUUCCUUUUAACAUGCUGUUGUCUGGCUUGAUCUUGUCACUCCAAAGGGACCCAUUCAGAGGUAUUCAUGCAUCUGCCUCGGGGGGACAAUGGGACCUUAGUUUAUAAACUGUCUGUCCAGUUGCCUGCGGCCUUUAGUCCUUUUGUUUUCGCUUCUCUUA